CUACGGGUCGCAGCAGUGGGGAAUAUUGGGCAAUGGGCGCAAGCCUGACCCAGCAACGCCGCGUGAGGGAAGAAGGUUUUCGGAUUGUAAACCUCUGUCCUUGGGGACGAAGAAGUGACGGUACCCAAGGAGGAAGCUCCGGCUAACUACGUGCCAGCAGCCGCGGUAAUACGUAGGGAGCAAGCGUUGUCCGGAAUUACUGGGCGUAAGGGGUGCGUAGGCGGCAUAUUAAGUCAGGUGUGAAAUACUCGGGCUCAACCCGGGGGCUGCAUUUGAAACUGAUAUGCUUGAGUGUGAGAGAGGAAAGUGGAAUUCCUAGUGUAGCGGUGGAAUGCGUAGAUAUUAGGAGGAACACCAGUGGCGAAGGCGACUUUCUGGCUCAUAACUGACGCUGAGGCACGAAAGCGUGGGGAGCAAACAGGAUUAGAUACCCCGGUAGUC
rnacentral:rRNA from 1 species